ncrna:unclassified sequences chromate-resist RNA
UCGGGCCACAUUGCAGUCGCCCGGCCUAUCCAAGGCAAUCGCCCAAGCACUGC